UGUGAAGGAACUUUACGGAGGGAAAACACAAUGACCGAUUGGCGGACGGGUGAGUAACGCGUAGGGAACCUGGCCCUUACAGGGGGAUAACAGAUGGAAACAACUGCUAAUACCGCAUAAGCGCCCAGCCUCGCAUGAGGCAGAGUGAAAAACUAAGGUGGUAAGGGAUGGCCCUGCGUCCGAUUAGCUAGUUGGUAUGGUAACGGCAUACCAAGGCGACGAUCGGUAGCCGGCCUGAGAGGGUGGACGGCCACAUUGGGACUGAGACACGGCCCAAACUCCUACGGGAGGCAGCAGUGGGGGAUAUUGCACAAUGGGGGAAACCCUGAUGCAGCGACACCGCGUGGGUGAAGAAGCGCUUCGGCGUGUAAAGCCCUAUCAGUGGGGAAGAAAAAGGACGGUACCCAAAGAAGAAGCACCGGCUAAAUACGUGCCAGCAGCCGCGGUAAUACGUAUGGUGCAAGCGUUAUCCGGAAUGACUGGGUGUAAAGGGAGCGUAGACGGUUGUACAAGUCUGAUGUGAAAGCCCACGGCUCAACUGUGGGAGUGCAUUGGAAACUGUAGAACUAGAGUAUCGGAGAGGCAAGUGGAAUUCCUAGUGUAGCGGUGAAAUGCGUAGAUAUUAGGAGGAACACCAGUGGCGAAGGCGGCUUGCUGGACGAAAACUGACGUUGAGGCUCGAAAGCGUGGGGAGCAAACAGGAUUAGAUACCCUGGUAGUCCACGCUGUAAACGAUGAAUACUAGGUGUUGGGGCCCGAAGGGCGUCGGUGCCGUCGCAAACGCAGUAAGUAUUCCACCUGGGGAGUACGUUCGCAA
rnacentral:rRNA from 1 species